rnacentral:rRNA from 1 species
AUGACCUCCUCCCUUCGCUUCGAGCUACUCUCCACACUUCAGUAUCUCCACUGCUCUGCACUGUUUCUCGUAUGCAGACCGAUCCAAUUUCAGUUCGGGUGCGCGGUGUGGACUGCAUCUUGCUCUUGCUGCUCCCUGUGGCUCCAGAUCUCUCGCUCGGGAUGGCAGCAGGAUCUCCUAGCGGACGGCUCUAUGCAUACCUCGUGUCGUGUUCAUUGUGUAAACACAGAUCGAUCUGACCUGAUAAUUGGCUGCUUAUGCCCGCUCGAUGGCCAGCUAGUCUCCUCUCAUUCACAUAUGAUGAUUUCUCUGACAUCCAACAGCUGUGAGGAAUUUGAUCGCUACAGUGAUACUACUGGUGCUGUUCUUUUUUUAUUAUUCAAGACAAGUGACAAACCCAAUCAUUAA